GAGAAUGUGGUUAAGGAGUUUUAUGGUUCUUUUAAAACUAGCGGGUCAAAAUCAAUUUCUGUAAAACUUGAAGGAGAAAUUAAAGCGUUGUCUUAUGCUGACUUAAGCAAGAUCUUUAAUUUGCCAAACACUGGGCCUAGGGUAACAAAAAUCAAAGAUAUUUCUAGGGUUAGCGGAUACCAAAAGGAAGAAUUUGUUAAGAAAAUUAUAAAGAAAGGUUCUGCGGAAAAACAGGGUGUUAUUGAGUGUUCAAACUUGACUGACAGUAUGGCCUUAAAAAAGCCUUUAGACAGUGGAAUGUUGAAUUUACUACUUUUAUUACUAUUCAGUUGGGGUUUGUUCAAUCUGCCUAUGAUCAUUGCUUAUUCACUAAGACUGUUGAUGAUACUCUCUUGAUUCUCUUGGUGUAUGUUGAUGAUGUUAUCAUAACUGGUAACAAUCUUGAUGCUAUUUUUCUGGUGAAACGAGCCUUACAUUCUCACUUCAUUAUCAAACAAUUGGGUUUUUGCAAAAUAUUUUCUCGGAAUAAAAAUAGCUAGAUCCAGUUCUGGUACUUAGUCAAAGAAAAUUCAUUUUGGAUCUGGUUAAGGAACUUGGUCUAUAAGAUGCAAAGCCUGCUUCUUCUCCUUUGCCUAAAGGUCUUAAAUUGUCUUUAGAAGAUAGUGAUUUGUUGACAGAACCAAAUCAGUUCAGGAGACUUAUUGGUAAACUCUUAUACAUUACUAUGACAAGGCCUGAUAUUAGCUACUCAGUUCAACAUCUUAGUCAGUUCAUGGUUGCGCCUAGGCAGCCCCAUAUACUGGCAGCAAUGCAAAUUAUUAGAUAUUUGUGUGGAUGUCCGUAUCAAGGCUUAUUUUUUCCUGCCACUAAUGAUCUUAAACUUCAGGCCUUCUAUUAUCCUGAUUGGGCCUCUUGUUCUUCCACAAGAAGGUCCUUAACAGGUUUUUGUGUUUUACUUGGAGUAGCACUAAUUUUCUUGGAAACCAAAGAAGCAAACUACUAUCUCACAGUCUUCUGCUGAAGCUGAAUAUAGAAGCAUGGCUUCUACAAUUUGUGAGUUGCACUAGAUCUCUUACAUAUUGGUGGAUCUUUUUGUUUCUCCAGAUCUUCCCAUUCCUUGACACUGCAACAAUCAGGCUGCCUUCAUAUUGUAGCUAAUCCUGUGUUCCAUGAGUGUACAAAGCAUCUUGAUGUAGACUGUCACUUGGUCCGAGAUCACCUUAAACAAGGUUUUAUGGUGAUAAAUGGCUCCAAGAGGGAGAAGGUAGAGAGCCUCCUCAUAUGGAUGGAGAGAUAUCAACUGAAAGAAUCAAGUGCUUUAGGAGAAUUUUUUCUAAUGAAGAUGACCGUUGUAGAGCAAAUGAUGAAUUUGCUAAUUUUUUUUUCUUAAAAGUGGGCCAUUUGUGGAUCCAAAUUCUAUUGAGUGUAGGUAUAGUACAGACCGUAGGAAGUGGUGGGCAUGUUUUAGUUCUAAUGUACCCUUACUUCAAAAAAUUUGCUCUUAGAAUGCUUGGACAACCUUGUUCUUCCUCUUGUUGUGAAAGAAAUUGGAGUACUUAUUCCUCCAUUCAUUGAUGUAGAAGGAAUAAAGUAUCUCUAAAACAUGCAGAAGACUUAAUUUUUAUUCAUAUCAAUUUUUGCCUUUUGUCAAAAAAUGCCUCUCAAUAUUAUGAUGAGAGGAAAAUGUGGGACAUUGGUGAAGAUGAAUUUGAGAGUUCUUAAAUUUGUCAAUCUUUUAUGAGGUAAACUGGAAUUAGAGUAUGUAUUUUUUAAUGAA